rnacentral:rRNA from 1 species
UGCUCAGGACGAACGCUGGCGGCGUGCCUAAUACAUGCAAGUCGAGCGGACCUUUUAAAAGCUUGCUUUUGAAAGGUCAGCGGCGGACGGGUGAGUAACACGUGGGCAACCUGCCUGUAAGACUGGGAUAACUUCGGGAAACCGGAGCUAAUACCGGAUAAUAUAAGGAACCUCCUGGUUCUUUAUUGAAAGAUGGUUUCGGCUAUCACUUACAGAUGGGCCCGCGGCGCAUUAGCUAGUUGGUGAGGUAACGGCUCACCAAGGCGACGAUGCGUAGCCGACCUGAGAGGGUGAUCGGCCACACUGGGACUGAGACACGGCCCAGACUCCUACGGGAGGCAGCAGUAGGGAAUCUUCCACAAUGGACGAAAGUCUGAUGGAGCAACGCCGCGUGAGCGAUGAAGGCCUUCGGGUCGUAAAGCUCUGUUGUUAGGGAAGAACAAGUGCGAGAGAACUGCUCGCACCUGACGGACCACCA